rnacentral:rRNA from 1 species
AUUGAACGCUGGCGGCAUGCUUUACACAUGCAAGUCGAACGGCAGCGCGGGCUUCGGCCUGGCGGCGAGUGGCGAACGGGUGAGUAAUACAUCGGAACGUGCCCAGUAGUGGGGGAUAGCUCGGCGAAAGCCGGAUUAAUACCGCAUACGACCUGAGGGUGAAAGCGGGGGAUCUUCGGACCUCGCGCUAUUGGAGCGGCCGAUGGCAGAUUAGCUAGUUGGUGGGGUAAAGGCCUACCAAGGCGACGAUCUGUAGCUGGUCUGAGAGGACGACCAGCCACACUGGGACUGAGACACGGCCCAGACUCCUACGGGAGGCAGCAGUGGGGAAUUUUGGACAAUGGGCGAAAGCCUGAUCCAGCAGUGCCGCGUGUGUGAUGAAGGCCUUCGGGUUGUAAAGCACUUUUGGCGGGAACGAAAAGGACUGUGCCAAUACCACGGUUCGAUGACGGUACCCGCAGAAUAAGCACCGGCUAACUACGUG